rnacentral:rRNA from 1 species
CCUACGGGAGGCAGCAGUCGAGAAUCAUUCACAAUGGGGGAAACCCUGAUGGUGCGACGCCGCGUGGGGGAAUGAAGGUCUUCGGAUUGUAAACCCCUGUCAUGUGGGAGCAAAUUAAAAAGAUAGUACCACAAGAGGAAGAGACGGCUAACUCUGUGCCAGCAGCCGCGGUAAUACAGAGGUCUCAAGCGUUGUUCGGAAUCACUGGGCGUAAGGCGUGCGUAGGCUGUUUCGUAAGUCGUGUGUGAAAGGCGCGGGCUCACCCCGCGGACGGCACAUGAUACUGCGAGACUAGAGUAAUGGAGGGGGAACCGGAAUUCUCGGUGUAGCAGUGAAAUGCGUAGAUAUCGAGAGGAACACUCGUGGCGAAGGCGGGUUCCUGGACAUUAACUGACGCUGAGGCACGAAGGCCAGGGGAGCGAAAGGGAUUAGAUACCCUAGUAGUC